GGGUUACGAGGGAGGCUCAGUGUAUUUGCCUUUAAGAAUAUGCUAAUUGAUUUCAGGCCAUCCAUGGUCGCCAAACUAAAACCGCUUCUAAACGUAGUCUCAUUUCAUGACAAUCCAAGCUCAUGCAUUGUAUUUUUUUCCAGGGCUCUCCUUACAAAAUAGCAGACCGGAGAUACGGUUCUCCCCCGAUUUAACCCCAGGAGAGCAUGUGACCGCAAGGCUGCCAAUCAGAGUGGUCCUACGAAGGCUUUGAAUGCAGCAUCGUGAGCUCACGCUGACGGUCGGCAGGCAAGUUCUUAAGGAUGUGGUGAACCGAUGGAAGGACAUUUUGUCUUGACUUUGAUACCUGCUCAUAAUUUGGAGUUCACAUCCAAGGAGGCUGCAUCUGAAUCGAAGAUCUCAUGGUCCUCGUUGCUGAGUCAGCGUACAAAUGUGGACAUGGACGUCCUUGCCCGGCCUCUCCAGUUCAGCCCUGUGGACGCCCCCCCCUCCACGCCGCCCUCUGUUGGCUCAUCACGUUUACGUAGCCUGGUGCUGAGCCGGAUGAUGCACUGGUCCCAGUCCUCCGGAAGGAGCAGCAUGAGGAAGCCCAGGCAAAUGAUGGAGACGGCGAUGAGGCGCACCGUGUUGAAAUGGAUCUCACAUGUGUAUAGGUCCACCACUGGGAAGGUGAGCAAGUCAUUACUACUCUUUACUGUACUUGCAUAGUACAUAGUACUAGUCAUCGUCAAGCCGUCACUGGUGAGCAGUAGGCAACUACACAUAACUACACAUAACUACACAUAACUACACAUAACUACACAUAACUACACAUUACAUCCUGUCAAUAACCAAAGUUACCUCAACCAUCUUGGACUAGCUAGCAUUCAAAAUCCUGUAAAGGAUCUUGCUGUAAUAUACAGAAUAUAGCAGUCAGCAAAACACAAGGGAACGACAG